rnacentral:rRNA from 1 species
UACGAAGGGGGCUAGCGUUGUUCGGAAUUACUGGGCGUAAAGCGUGCGUAGGCGGCUUCUCAAGUCAGGGGUGAAAGCCCAGAGCUCAACUCUGGAAUUGCCUUUGAGACUGAGUGGCUUGAGUACGGGAGAGGUGAGUGGAAUUCCCAGUGUAGAGGUGAAAUUCGUAGAUAUUGGGAAGAACACCGGUGGCGAAGGCGGCUCACUGGCCCGUAACUGACGCUCAUGCACGACAGCGUGGGGAUCAAACAGG